rnacentral:rRNA from 1 species
CCUACGGGGGGCAGCAGUGGGGAAUAUUGGACAAUGGGGGCAACCCUGAUCCAGCCAUGCCGCGUGUGUGAAGAAGGCCCUCGGGUUGUAAAGCACUUUCAGUGAGGAAGAACGCCUGGUGGUUAAUACCCAUCAGGAAAGACAUCACUCACAGAAGAAGCACCGGCUACUCCGUGCCAGCAGCCGCGGUAAUACGGAGGGUGCGAGCGUUAAUCGGAAUUACUGGGCGUAAAGCGCGCGUAGGUGGCUUGAUAAGCCGGUUGUGAAAGCCCCGGGCUCAACCUGGGAACGGCAUCCGGAACUGUCAAGCUAGAGUGCAGGAGAGGAAGGUAGAAUUCCCGGUGUAGCGGUGAAAUGCGUAGAGAUCGGGAGGAAUACCAGUGGCGAAGGCGGCCUUCUGGACUGACACUGACACUGAGGUGCGAAAGCGUGGGUAGCAAACAGGAUUAGAUACCCUUGUAGUC